UGCGUCUAUAGAUGUCCCGGCUAACUUUUCGAUGAAUCCAAUUCACAAAAUUACACCUGGUGUAUGCUUUCAACAUUGCAAAGGAACGGGAAUGACAUUUAAAAUAAUCGGAUUAAGUCGGGGCAAGUGUUUUUGCGUGACCCAUGAAUCUAGCAGUGGUGACAUUAAGACUGGUUGUGUUUUGAAAAAUUCGGAGUGGCUGGCUGGGGAUGGAGUUAGUUUUAUGUCUCUAUGUGAGAAGAAAGGUUAAGUAAUUUUAUUUACGCUUACACUAUGAUAUAUCAAUUACAGAUAAAAUUUGUCACACUUGAUUUCAUUUUUUUCACACUGACCGUCAACCAAAUAUGAAUUAUGAACAUGCUUUGCAAAUAAUUAUUAGUUCUUCAAAUAGAUUGACCAUCAACAUCAAUGUUUCCUUACUUUUUUUGUUGCUUCGAUUUUAUUUUACAAGUUCUGCUUCUAAUCUAAAUUGUAUAAUUAAUAUGUAUUUUAUGUCCAUUGACUUAGUAAAUAUAUAAAUAACGCAUUGCAUGUUAAUGAUAAGUGAAAAGAAAAUUGCCAGUUUUGUGGAGAGUUGAAAAUAGCCCUUCAAGGUAGGAAACUUGGAUUUUUUAUGAAAGUUAUUUAUCUAAAUGUGUACUACAUAUCAUUUAUUGCGAUUUAUGAUCAUUAAAAUGAAGUAUUUGUUGUAGCAAGGAUUAAGACUACCUUGAUAAGAUUUUUCAACAUCUUGAAUUAAUAGUUGAACCCAAUCAAUUUGUGGCAGGACCCUAUAAUUAAAUGGCGUGCAUCAUUGGACCCUGUCAACUGAAAGUAAAGGAAAUAUCUGUAUAACAUCAGGAAGUUGGAGUAUGGAAAAUAUUGAUUGCUGCCAUAUAUUUAGAACAACUUCUGUUGUAUGAAUAUUCUUAACUCCAUUGAGCAAUGAAAAAGAAUAAAUAAAUACAAAUAUGAAAUGUGCAACAAGUAAUCAUAGAGUAUGUGCAUGAGAGAUAAUGUAAAAUGUCCUAAAACACCGGUGGAUUUAAUCCGUAACACUAAAAAUAAAAUUAUUUUAAAAAUUUGACAGUCACUUAACAAACUUUCAAUUGCAAUGCAAUGCAAAAAGUAUAUCAUAAAUGUGUAUUUUAAUUAUUUGUCAUAUUAAAAGAGAAUCGGGGCAUCUGAGACAAAUACUGUAUUAAAAUGGUUUUUACUGUCUCUUUUUAAUUUUACUUAAAUGUGUACAUUCUUCAUAUCAUUCUAUGUACCUUUUAGAAAAGUAAAGGUUAUUUUAAGCUUCUUUUUCAGAGUUGUUGUCUGAUGUCAGCAGUGAUGGAAACUGUUUUGCUUUCAAUAAGCGCAACAAAACUGCAUGGCAAAUGUGCAGUCAGAUCAGAAAAUCUAUUUGCAAAGCGCAAAGUGGAAAAUUUAUAAAGGUAGGAGGGGAAUGGCAUCUUGCUUGGACAGAAUACAUCAAAGAGUGUUUUUUGAAAAGAUGCAACCCACUCAUAUACGAAGAUGUCAAGAAAAAGCCGGAACAACUUUACGAGCUUGCAGAAAGCUUCACAUGGACACGUCUUAUACGAAGCAUGGUAGUUUACAAGUAUAAUGAGUUCAACGAUAAAAUGAACAUAAAAUACGGUUACAUAAAAGGACAUGGUUCAUUCGUAAACCUGGAAUUUACUUUCAAUGGGAAUGCAGCAAAACGAGCUCUUUUUAAAACUUG